GCAUAUCAAUAAGCGGAGGAAAAGAAACCAACAGGGAUUGCCCUAGUAACGGCGAGUGAAGCGGCAACAGCUCAAAUUUGAAAUCUGGCGCAAGCCCGAGUUGUAAUUUGUAGAGGAUGCUUCUAGGCAGCGGCCGGUCUAAGUCUCUUGGAACAGGGCGUCAUAGAGGGUGAGAAUCCCGUAUGUGACCGGCUGGCACCUUAUACGUAGCUCCUUCGACGAGUCGAGUUGUUUGGGAAUGCAGCUCUAAAUGGGAGGUAAAUUUCUUCUAAAGCUAAAUACCGGCCAGAGACCGAUAGCGCACAAGUAGAGUGAUCGAAAGAUGAAAAGCACUUUGGAAAGAGAGUUAAAAAGCACGUGAAAUUGUUGAAAGGGAAGCGCUUGCAACCAGACUUGUUGGCGGUGUUCCGCCGGUCUUCUGACCGGUCUACUCGCCGCCCGCAGGCCAGCGUCGUCUGGGGCCGCCGGAGAAAGGCGUUGGGAAUGUAGCUCCCUCGGGAGUGUUAUAGCCCAUCGCACAAUACGGCGCGCGCCGGGCGAGGUCCGCGCUUCGGCAAGGACGCUGGCGUAAUGGUCGUAAGCGGCCCGUCUUGAAACACGGACCAAGGAGUCGAUCAAUCGUGCGAGUGUUCGGGUGAAAAACCCUUGCGCGCAAUGAAAGUGAACGGAGGCGAGAAGCGCAAGCCGCAUCGUCGACCGAUCCUGAUGUCUUCGGAUGGAUUUGAGUAAGAGCAUGGCUGAUCGGACCCGAAAGAUGGUGAACUAUGCCUAAAUAGAAUGAAACCAGGGGAAACCCUGGCGGAAGUUCGCAGCGGUUCUGACGUGCAAAUCGAUCGUCAAAUUUGGGUAUAGGGGCGAAAGACUAAUCGAACCAUCUAGUAGCUGGUUCCUGCC
rnacentral:rRNA from 1 species